rnacentral:tRNA from 1 species
CCAUUGGUGGUCCAGUGGUUAGGACUUUAUGCUUCCAAUGUAAGGAGAACGGGUUUGAUUCCCGGUCAGGGAA